UACGGAGGGUGCGAGCGUUAAUCGGAAUUACUGGGCGUAAAGCGUGCGCAGGCGGUUUGUUAAGCGAGAUGUGAAAGCCCCGGGCUCAACCUGGGAACCGCAUUUCGAACUGGCAAACUAGAGUCUUGUAGAGGGGGGUAGAAUUCCAGGUGUAGCGGUGAAAUGUGUAGAGAUCUGGAGGAAUACCGGUGGCGAAGGCGGCCCCCUGGACAAAGACUGACGCUCAGGCACGAAAGCGUGGGGAGCAAACAGG
rnacentral:rRNA from 1 species